rnacentral:rRNA from 1 species
UGGGGAAUAUUGCACAAUGGGCGAAAGCCUGAUGCAGCAACGCCGCGUGAGUGAUGAAGGCCUUCGGGUUGUAAAGCUCUGUCUUCUGGGACGAUAAUGACGGUACCAGAGGAGGAAGCCACGGCUAACUACGUGCCAGCAGCCGCGGUAAUACGUAGGUGGCAAGCGUUGUCCGGAUUUACUGGGCGUAAAGGGUGCUCAGGCGGAUUUGUAAGUCAGAGGUGAAAUCUUACAGCUUAACUGUGAAACUGCCUUUGAUACUGCAAGCCUAGAGUAUGGAAGAGAGUGAUGGAAUAUCUGGUGUAGCAGUGAAAUGCGUAGAUAUCAGAUAGAACACCAAUGGCGAAGGCAGUCACUUGGUCCAUUACUGACGCUAAAGCACGAAAGCGUGGGUAGCAAACA